UGUUGGGUGUGGAGACGCGUCUGGGCUGGCGUGCUGCACGUUUGUUGCCGUUAGUUUACUGCGGAGUGAACCGACUUUGUUUCGCCGUGGAUAUUCCCCGUGUGGAUAGAUGAAUACCUGGGCUGCUGGCGUUGGGUGCCUCGCGGGACCGAGCUACAGCCGUGUGCAUGUUGCUGUUGAGGCUGUUGGGUGCCACAGUUAUCUAAGAGGUUAACACUCCCCGGCGUGUUUCUCCUCCCACUCAUGCUGUUCUGGAUAUCGGUAUAAAAUUUUGCUGUGUAUUGAUACAGUGUCUGGAUAUAUGACUGUCCUGGAUGCACAGAACUGGUUUGGAGUAAUACAUUUUAAGUGUUUGAAUAUCCAGA